AUUGAACGCUGGCGGCAGGCCUAACACAUGCAAGUCGAACGAGUGGCGGAAGGGUGAGUAAUGUCUGGAAAACUGACUGAUGGAGGGGGAUAAAUACUGGAAACGGUAGCUACUACCGCAUACAACACGAUGUGCUCAGAUGGGAUUAGCUGGUUUGGGGUGUAACGCAUCACCAAGGCGACGAACCCUAGCUUGUCUGAGAGGAUGAACAGCCACACUGGAACUGAGACACGUUCCAGACUCCUACGGGAGGCAGCAGUGGGGAAUAUUGCACAAUGGGCGCAAGCCUGAUUCAGCCAUGCCGCGUGUAUGAAGAAGGCCUUCGGGUUGUAAAGUACUUUCAGCGGGGAGGCGUUACCCGAAGAAGAAGCACCGGCUAACUCCGUGCCAGCAGCCGCGGUAAUUC
rnacentral:rRNA from 1 species